GGCUAUCGAGGAUUUCUCAUCUGCUCAUCGCUAAUAUAAACUAACAUAUGGCGGAUUUGGCUAUUUUAAUCAGGUCAACUUAAAGAUUCUAGAUGUUAGUUUUUGAAUGGCACAAAAACAGAAGAUGGUGGGAGUUAUUUUUUCGAGGAAACACAUCAGAAAGCGAAAAUUUUCAGAUUCAUCCGCUGGGACAUAUAUGUUGAAGCGCGCAUACUUUGAUCCCGCUAGGCCGAAGCAAUGGGAAAAAAACAAAAUCCCCCAGAAUAUUUCCAAAUCAGUUUUAACACGUUUCGCGCAAGUCUCAAAAAAAUCCUUCUGGAAACGGCGGA